GAUCAUGGCUCAAGAUGAACGCUAGCGGCAGGCUUAACACAUGCAAGUCGAGGGGCAGCAUAAUGGAUAGCAAUAUCUAUGGUGGCGACCGGCGCACGGGUGAGUAACGCGUAUCCAACCUGCCCAUCACUUGGGAAUAACCUUGCGAAAGCAAGACUAAUACCCAAUGAUAUCCCACGAAGGCAUCCGAAUGGGAUUAAAGAUUUAUCGGUGAUGGAUGGGG
rnacentral:rRNA from 1 species